GACGAACGCUGGCGGCGUGCUUAACACAUGCAAGUCGAACGGAAAGGCCCUGCUUGCAGGGUACUCGAGUGGCGAACGGGUGAGUAACACGUGGGUGAUCUGCCCUGCACUUCGGGAUAAGCUUGGGAAACUGGGUCUAAUACCGGAUAGGACCGCACUUUAGUGUGUGUGGUGGAAAGUUUUUUCGGUGUAGGAUGAGCUCGCGGCCUAUCAGCUUGUUGGUGGGGUAAUGGCCUACCAAGGCGGCGACGGGUAGCCGGCCUGAGAGGGUGUACGGCCACAUUGGGACUGAGAUACGGCCCAGACUCCUACGGGGGGCAGCAGUGGGGAAUAUUGCACAAUGGGCGCAAGCCUGAUGCAGCGACGCCGCGUGGGGGAUGAAGGCCUUCGGGUUGUAAACUCCUUUCGCUAGGGACGAAGCUUUUUGUGACGGUACCUAGAUAAGAAGCACCGGCUAACUACGUG
rnacentral:rRNA from 1 species